UUAAUUCAUUUCUAUAUUUUUAUUAAACGUACAUCUUUAUAUCGAUUUGCGUACAACGGCUUUAAAGUGCAUAGAGUGCGCAUAGCUCUGCCAGUGAAAAACGCUAUAAGAAUAUGCGAAAAUUUUAUUUUGCUUAUAACUUUCUAUUGCAACAGUAGAAAUAUACAAGAAAAUGAAAAUUCUGGUUAUAGUCUAUGGUUCGUAUUUUAUUAGAAUGCGCUUACAGCGAUGUUAGCGCGCUAACAUGCUAUAAUUUACGUUACGUAUACUAUAGAAUUUCAGAGAUACAAGCGCGCUUUUAUCGAUAAAAGCGCGUUCUAAAUACGGACCAAUGUUUACACAAAGAACAAGGCAUUUUCAAGACGCAAGUGUUGACAAUUUAGUCGUUGAAAUGCAAACGAUCGAUCAUGAGAUCUCCAAUUAUUUCAGAAUAACAUUGGAAUUAUUUGAAGAAUUGUUGACAUCAAUUGAAUUACAAUGGAGAGUACUAGUGAACUCAUUUCUAGUAAAAAAUCUGUUUCGUCGUUCCGAUUCCGUAUAUGGGAUGGCACUAUCAGUAUUGCAGCCAAUACGGUGGCAAGAUUCUAAUCCUGCUAGCAAUCCAGCAAGAAAAUAAGCAUCAUGUACUGCAGGCUAUAGGCCUGUUCUACAAUAGAAUCGUAAGUAGUAAGCCGUAAGAAAUUAACCAAUCAUAGUCGAUUAUUCUUCUUACACUUAAUUGUGAUUGGCCAAUUUCUUACAGCUAACGGCUUGCCACCCUAUUGUAGAACAGGCAUUAAUGCGAGGUCUACAAAUCGUAGAGUGAAAUCACACGGUGCAGAAAACUACUACGGAAUAGAGAAUGCAUCAUUGAAACAACCAAUUAGCACUAUUCGGAAUAACGCAGAAUAAUGCUGAUUGAUUGCUUCUAUGACGCAUUCGUUUUCAGCACCAUGUGAUUUCACCUUAACGAUCGUAGGAUCUUGAGUCGUAGAAAAUUGACCAAUCAUAAUCGAUUAUUCUUCUCAUAUUCGACUGAAUGGUUAAUUUUUUACGACUUAAGACUACGACUUCUGUUAUAGACCCCGCGUAAAACUUUCCACAAAAUUUCUUCAAGCUUUUGUUGUAUUCGUUAACUGAUGUUUCAUCGGUGGAUAUUCGAUCAAUAGUUCAAUGCCGAUUAAAAUAUUUACAUUUUGUUUUAUAUCAAAAUUAAAACUAAUUCAACAUGAAAAUAUAUAUUACAAUAUUAUUACAAUAACUUUAAUAAGUAUUACACAACUGCAACGAGUCCGAUGUAAUGUAUCGAUAAUAUCUCGACAAUCGCCAAAUAAUAAACUAGAAACAAUAGUA
rnacentral:misc_RNA from 1 species